GGGUGCGAUCGUACCAGCAAUAAUGCUCCGGAGCCCAUCAGAACUCCAGAAUUAAGCGUGCUUGGGCGAGAGUAGUUAUAGGAUGGGUGACCCCCUGGGAAAUCCUCGUGUUGCACCCC
rnacentral:rRNA from 1 species